rnacentral:lncRNA from 1 species
GGAGGACCCCUUGAGCCCAGGAAUUUGAGGCUGCAGUGAGCUAUGAUUGUGCCACUGUACUCCAGCCUGGGUAACAGAGACCACAUCGCUAUAAAUAAAAUGACAUUAAAAGACAGUUAAAAUAUAAAAUUCCUGCACAUUCACAGUAAUAUAAAAACCUCAGUAUUUUUUUUUAGAUUAUUACUUUUUGCUGGCCAGUCAAAAAUUCUUACUUUUUUUUCUUAUUCUGAACUUUCAGACUGGCUGAAACCACCACGGUUGUUUACAAUUUAUGCUCUAACUUUGGAUCACCUAGUUAAUACUCUAACUCCGAUUAUUACCAAAGACAAUGUUCUAUAAAAGAUAUUGUCUAUUAGAAGGAUGCUUCUGCAUUAUUAAUAAAAUCACAGGGAAAAUGCAACAUUUUGGAUGUCACAUCUGAUAAGUGGGUGACUGAUCGUACCCGCCAGCUGGCUAAUGUCAUAAUUAACAAAGUUGCUACUACAUCUGCAAAGUUUAAUCGAAAAAUUUGCCAGUGAUAUGAUGGCCUUGUCACAGAGAUCACAAGGGACACGGAGUUGACUUUUGCUCAAGGUGGAACGACAGAGCUGUGUAGGCAAGAUGAGAAAUUGCGAACUUGUUCGGCCAAAGGAGGCUAAUAAUGAAGGGGCCGGGAAGGAGGCCAGUGCUACCAGGGUUAUCUCACAACCUCAGAUGCUGGAUAAGUCGACGGAGGCAGAAUCGCUUUGGGAUGACAUUCAGAAAGCCUGGAGUGAUUACUUGCAAGAGAAAAGCCUACCUAUUCUUUCCAAGGUGCAGGAAUAUUCCCCUGACC